rnacentral:rRNA from 1 species
UAGGGAAUCUUCGGCAAUGGACGAAAGUCUGACCGAGCAACGCCGCGUGAGUGAAGAAGGUUUUCGGAUCGUAAAACUCUGUUGUUAGAGAAGAACAAGGACGUUAGUAACUGAACGUCCCCUGACGGUAUCUAACCAGAAAGCCACGGCUAACUACGUGCCAGCAGCCGCGGUAAUACGUAGGUGGCAAGCGUUGUCCGGAUUUAUUGGGCGUAAAGCGAGCGCAGGCGGUUUCUUAAGUCUGAUGUGAAAGCCCCCGGCUCAACCGGGGAGGGUCAUUGGAAACUGGGAGACUUGAGUGCAGAAGAGGAGGGUGGAAUUCCAUGUGUAGCGGUGAAAUGCGUAGAUAUAUGGAGGAACACCAGUGGCGAAGGCGGCUCUUUGGUCUGUAACUGACGCUGAGGCUCGAAAGCGUGGGGAGCAAACAGG